UCUCUUAGGGACGGCUCUUGGAUUUCAGUCCCACCUGACCAGUACUCAUUCUUCGUCAAUGUUGGUGAUUCAUUACAGGUAAUGACGAAUGGAUGGUUCAAAAGUGUGAAGCCAGGGUGAUGGCGAACAGCGUGAAAUCAAGGCUGUCGAUGAUAUAUUUCUGUGGACCACCAUUGAGCGAGAAGAUAGCGCCGUUGCCAUGUUUGAUGAGGGGAGAUCAACAAAGCUUGUACAAAGAAUUUACAUGGUUCGAGUACAAAAGAUUUGCUUACACUUCUAGGUUGGCCGACAACAGGCUCAUGCACUUUGAGAAAAUAGCU